UACGUAGGGUGCAAGCGUUAAUCGGGAUUACUGGGCGUAAAGCGUGCGCAGGCGGUGAUGUAAGACAGUUGUGAAAUCCCCGGGCUCAACCUGGGAACUGCAUCUGUGACUGCAUCGCUGGAGUGCGGCAGAGGGGGAUGGAAUUCCGCGUGUAGCAGUGAAAUGCGUAGAUAUGCGGAGGAACACCGAUGGCGAAGGCAAUCCCCUGGGCCUGCACUGACGCUCAUGCACGAAAGCGUGGGGAGCAAACAGG
rnacentral:rRNA from 1 species